rnacentral:rRNA from 1 species
GACGAACGCUGGCGGCGUGCCUAAUACAUGCAAGUCGAACGCAGUGGGGACGGGUGAUUAACACGUGGGUAACCUCCCAUCAGAGGGGAUAACCCUUAGCAACAGGUGCUAAACCGAUACUGAUUGAUGUACCUGCGGUGCAUUAGCUAGUUGGGGAGGUAACGGCUAACCAAGGCCACGAUGCAUAGCCGAGCUGAGAGGUUGAUCGGCCACACUGGGACUGAGACACGGCCCAGACUCCUACGGGAGGCAGCAGUAGGGAAUAUUCGGCAAUGGACGAAAGUCUGACCGAGCAACGCCGCGUGAGUGAAGAAGGUUUGCGGAUCGUAAAACUCUGUUGUUAGAGAAGCGGUAUCUAACCAGAAAGCCACGGCUAACUACGUGCCAGCAGCCGCGGUAAUUC